rnacentral:rRNA from 1 species
UGUUGUUAAAGGUUUACCGCCUUGGGAUAGGCUUGCGUCUGAUUAGCUAGUUGGUGUGGUAACGGCACACCAAAGGCUACGAUCAGUAACUGGUCUGAGAGGAUGAUCAGUCACACUGGAACUGAGACACGGUCCAGACUCCUACGGGAGGCAGCAGUGAGGAAUAUUGGGCAAUGCUCGAAAGAGUGACCCAGCAACGCCGCGUGGAGGAUGAAGGUAUUCUAUAUCGUAAACUCCUGUGAGAGCAGACGAAAGACAGAUUAUUAAUCUGGAUGGCUGUAUGCUCAGAGGAAGCCCCGGCUAACUACGUG